CUUGUGCCUCCUUCUCUCUGAGCUCCUCCGCACCGACGCACCCUCCACCUCUUGCCACCUGGUCCUCCCCAUGCGAGAAAGACCGCGUCAUGUGGUGGCGUGCCUCCCUAACAGCCACGCAAAGACUUGCCCGGCACGUGUUCACGUCCGCACUCUGCUGUGUUUUUUGCUUAGAAUCUUUCUGAUUUCCAUAACCCCUGAUCCAGUGCAUGGCUUUCCUGGGCCAGGAGGCUAUACUAAGAAGCACAGGGCGUGAGCCACCGCAGCUAAGCCGUGUAAAGUAUCUCAAAAUUCCCACUUUAUGGAGCUGAAACAACAACCAAUCACAACCAGCCUACAAGUAAAGGAAGGCCACUGACAUAUGAGCUGCGGCAUCAGUGAGGUCAUCUGGACUUGUAGCCAAUGGGAGGGCUUUGUCACAAGUACAGGGCAUCUUGGGAUUGCCUCAGGGGGUAUGUGGCACUC